UACGGGGGGGGCAAGCGUUGUUCGGAAUUACUGGGCGUAAAGGGCGCGUAGGCGGCCUUCUAAGUCGGACGUGAAAUCCCUCGGCUUAACCGAGGAACUGCGUCCGAUACUGGCAGGCUUGAAUCCGGGAGAGGGAUGCGGAAUUCCAGGUGUAGCGGUGAAAUGCGUAGAUAUCUGGAGGAACACCGGUGGCGAAGGCGGCAUCCUGGACCGGCAUUGACGGCUGGAUGAGCGAAAGCUAGGGGAGCAA
rnacentral:rRNA from 1 species